rnacentral:lncRNA from 1 species
AUCCACUUGGCCUGCUGUGCAAGGCUGUUGAAUAUCUGUGGUAUGUUUGCAUAGGCAACACCUUCAACAGAAGAACCAAGAAGUGUUUGACUCCAGGUUCCCCUGUAAUCCAAGGUUUAGGGUAAUUUUUCAUUUAAAUCCAGAAAAAUAGAAGAAGAUUUUCAAUCUUGGUAUCCCACCUACUUCAGAAAAAAUUCUGUACAUAUAUAUUGAGAAUAACAGUAUCACAAGGAUAGGGUUUGUUACAGUUCCGCCAUGUUUUUUGCAAUAAUACUGUUAUUUACUUGAUGUAGAUGCAAACCAGUUCCUGUGUGUGAAUCCUGAGAUGUAUCUGUAGAGGAAAAGUUAUCCUGCAAAUAAAGCAAGAACUCAAGAAUGUGUUGGCAGUGUGACCCUGACCACUAACAUAUAAAUAAUGAGAAAUAUGUGAGACUUUAAUGGAAUGCUGGAGAUCUACACUUUGAAUAGUGAAUGGCCUGAGAAAAGGAAGCAUUUCCAGGUGCAACAGAAGGAGGACUUCACAUUUGGAAAGACUGCCUUUCCUGCUGAACUCCAAAGGAUUUCAAAGGAAGACUAUACAUUCUCCUGGAGUUUAUCUCUGUAUUCCAUGGGAGUUGUCUAUAAGAGAGCCUACAAACGUACUGGAUGCAUCUCAUGGCACUACCCUUCUUCACGUCCCAUUCACAUCUUUAUAUACAUAGCUGUGUGUGCAUGUGAGAGUAUGAGAAUUAAUGGUGGGAAUAAAGUAGAAACUCCUUUUCAAAUAACAAGGUAUAAAUAAUUGCUUAUAAUUAUGUAGGAUAAAGAAUGAAAACCAGAUGAUGGAAAGAUGAUAACCAGAAAGAUGGCCUCUAGUAAAAUCAGAAAGGUUAAUAAACAGUUCUACAGGCUAAAUGACAUGGAAAAAGAAGAUAUUUUGUUUAUUUUUUAGUAAAACAUGAUUUUAUUGAGGUAAAAUGCAAAUGUAAGAUUAACAGAUCUUUAUCAUUAAUUAAUCUUACUUAAGGAGGAUGUGGCUUAUAGGUAUUACUGGCACUAUUAAUCACAGAAUCACAGAAUAAGCUGAGUUGCAAGAUACCCAGAAGGGUCCUCAUGUCCAACUCCCAGCUCUGCACAGCACCAUCCCCAAGCAUCACACCAUGUGCCUGAGAGUGUUGUCCAAACACUCCUUGAGCUCUCUCAGGCUGGUGCUGUGACCAGUUCCUUGUGGAGCCUGUUCCAGUUCCCAGCUGCCAUCUGGGUGAAGGAUCUUGUUCUAAUAUCCAACCUAAACCUGUCCUGACAGAACUUCAGGCAAUUCCCUUUGAUCCUGUCACUGGUCACCACAGAGGAAAGAUUGGUGCCUGCCCCUCUGCCUUCCGUAGAUUCUCAGCUGUAGACUUGAGACUAGAGGUCUCCCCUCAGCCUCCUCCUCUCCAGGCUGAACAGACCAAGUGACCUCAGCUGCUCCUCAUACGGCUUCCCCUCGAGGCCCUCCACCAUUUUUGUUGCCUUCCUUUGGAUGCCCUCUAAUAGCUUAAUAAUAUGAUUCUAAUGUUGUGGCACCCAGACCUGCACACAGGGUUUGAGGUGAGGCCGCCGCAGUGCAGAGCAGAGUGGGACAAUCCCCUCUCUUGCCCAGCUGGUGAUGCUGUGCCAGGUGCACCCUAGGACAUGGCUGGCCCUUCAAUGUCACAUUGGGGGCCUGAGAUAAAACCCUUGCCUCCAUUUCUGCCCAGGGAGUCUUAGCCACUCUAAUGCAUCAAUAUUGAAUUAAAUUUAAAGCUAGUUAAGAGAAAGAAAGGUGUGACAAUUUCUGAAUUGGAAAGUGUAUGAAAUAUAAGCAUUCACUACAAAUUGA